rnacentral:lncRNA from 1 species
CGUGAAAAGGAAUUAGCCAAACAUGAUGCGAGAAUUAAAUAAACAAAAGUGGAACGACAUCACCAAAAAAUUCGACGGAACGUGAUUAAUUUUUGUGUCAAUGAUUCUGCCGUCUCUUUCCUCUUCAAUGUUUUCUGCGUGUGUCGUCUUCUUCCAGCAAUUCUUGUCUCUGUCUGCAUAUAUAUAUAUUCUGCCUCAAUGUUCGACUAUUCCAAUUUCUGCCCUCUUGUACUUUGUAUAAUAAAAUUCAGCACCAAUUCCCAGGCUGCCGUUCCUGUGCGUAUGUAUAUUCUUCUCUGUUUCAGCCUCAAAUUGCGUGAGAAAUAUAUAAUAUUGUUCAGCAACUGGUAGCCCCAAAGUGUGUGUAAAUAAUAUAAAGUAUUGGCUGCCCAAAGCUCAAUUCCCAGCCUUAAGUGUAUGUAUCUUUAAUUCAGCAGUAGGCAGAAUUCUCCUCCUUUUUU